GUGGCUGGAACUGAGGAAGAGGGAACAGGAAACACUGCAGAGACAGGGAAGAGGAGGAGCUGGGCUUCAAGGAUGGGCUGAGGAGGAUCAUGCCAUGAAGGGUGUGAAAUGUAGUGGAGAGGGAACAGCAACUCCUUCCUAUGUCCUGACGGAAAUGAGUUCAAUGAGUAGGAUGUUGAGUGGAGAUGUGCACAGCAAGGUGUGAUGGCACAGCAGCAUGGCUGGAAAUGCCACCUGCCAGGACAGCAAGAGGCAGCUUUUACUCUCAAGAUAGACAUACUCAGCCCCAGAAGGCCUCCAAACUGGUCAUCAGGCUUGUCUUCUUGGAGAGCUGUACUGAGGAAACAGUUUGGCCUUCACAGUGCUGCAGAAUCAAGUUGUGAGGAAUUAAAGCAGUUGUAAAUGGAACUCUUUGAGAGAAGGUUAUUGUAUGGCAGCAGGGCUGUAUGGGCUAAAUUUAACCAUUAAAAUCAACAGCAAAAACA